UACGUAGGGGGCAAGCGUUGUCCGGAUUUAUUGGGCGUAAAGAGCGUGUAGGCGGUUAGGUAGGUCCGUUGUGAAAACUCGAGGCUCAACCUCGAGACGCCGAUGGAAACCAUCUAACUAGAGUCCGGAAGAGGAGAGUGGAAUUCCUGGUGUAGCGGUGAAAUGCGCAGAUAUCAGGAAGAACACCCGUGGCUAAGGCGGCUCUCUGGGCAUUACCUGACGCUGAGGAGUGAAAAUGUGGGGAGCGAACAGG
rnacentral:rRNA from 1 species